UUCUGGACGGAGAGACACUUCAACUCUCUGGGUUAGAAUCGGAAGAGAACUGGGUGCAGAAAUGGUGCUCCUGUCUGCUGCUCAAGGGCGCAGUGACUCCUCCGUCAUCCCAGGCCUGGAUUGGAGCUGUCAUCGUGCUGGUCAUUACACCGGGAAGUGACUUCCCACGGCCUUGGACCUUGUGCCGGACCACAGGACCACAGACACACACCCCCACACACCUCUUUGUACUCUUCCUGGAAAUAUGAUAAACGGGCAAAGAAACACCAGAACAAAGACGUUACUGCUGUCAGGAAGAGUGUCAUGACAUUUCAGAACAGGGGCGGUGAGUGUUAAAAUAUGGCAAGUACAGACAUGCUACAAAAGCAAACAGUGGACCUACAAAGGUAAGGUAACCUCUCUCCACUGAGCAAACAUGCUUACUGAACUACACCAUUUAGCAAAACGAGGCAACUUUGACAGUUGCAAAUUAGGGAAUAACUCUGGGUGUAGCAUUUUAAGUCUUCGUAUUUUAAGUCAAAGCUCACUGCCCACUUGUCUCAAACAUGCUCUUCCUUGCUGUAACGAUCAAAGCCAAAUUAGCUGCUUAAAUUGACCCACUGGUGACGUUUAGAAUAAAAGGAAAA